UACGUAGGGUGCAAGCGUUAAUCGGAAUUACUGGGCGUAAAGCGUGCGCAGGCGGCCGUGCAAGACAGAUGUGAAAUCCCCGGGCUCAACCUGGGAACUGCAUUUGUGACUGCACGGCUGGAGUGCGGCAGAGGGGGAUGGAAUUCCGCGUGUAGCAGUGAAAUGCGUAGAUAUGCGGAGGAACACCGAUGGCGAAGGCAAUCCCCUGGGCCUGCACUGACGCUCAUGCACGAAAGCGUGGGGAGCAAACAGG
rnacentral:rRNA from 1 species